UUAUUGGAGAGUUUGAUCCUGGCUCAGGAUGAACGCUGGCGGCGUGCCUAAUACAUGCAAGUCGAGCGAAUGGAUUGAGAGCUUGCUCUCAAGAAGUUAGCGGCGGACGGGUGAGUAACACGUGGGUAACCUGCCCAUAAGACUGGGAUAACUCCGGGAAACCGGGGCUAAUACCGGAUAACAUUUUGAACUGCAUGGUUCGAAAUUGAAAGGCGGCUUCGGCUGUCACUUAUGGAUGGACCCGCGUCGCAUUAGCUAG
rnacentral:rRNA from 2 species